GGAGACGUGGCAGAGCGGCCGAAUGCACCGGUCUUGAAAACCGGCGAGGUUUAUCCCUCCGCGGGUUCAAAUCCCGCCGUCUCCGCCG
rnacentral:tRNA from 1 species